UACGUAGGGUGCGAGCGUUAAUCGGAAUUACUGGGCGUAAAGCGUGCGCAGGCGGUCUUGCAAGACAGAUGUGAAAUCCCCGGGCUCAACCUGGGAACUGCAUUUGUGACUGCAAGGCUGGAGUGCGGCAGAGGGGGAUGGAAUUCCGCGUGUAGCAGUGAAAUGCGUAGAUAUGCGGAGGAACACCGAUGGCGAAGGCAAUCCCCUGGGCCUGCACUGACGCUCAUGCACGAAAGCGUGGGGAGCAAGCAGG
rnacentral:rRNA from 1 species